ensembl:lincRNA
GAAAGAUGAGCUUUUUUUUCUUUUUUCAUUUAUUCCCUUUCAAUGUUAAAGAAUACACGAACGAGGCCUUCGGCAGGGGUAGAGCCAGCAGGAUACUGUUGAGUCGGGUGCUUUUUUCUUGGGGCACAGUUGUUCAAGGGCGUCGCCGCUCCUUCAUGGCGUGCGCUGGUGCUGUGGGCCUGGCCCAGGCUUGUGUAGGGUGGAAGAGUGCAUGUCCGCGCAGAAAUGCUGACGGGUGGCAGGAGUGGCAGUCCGGCUUGCACACGCAGUCUGCGAACAUCCUGCUCUUCACCAGCCUUAUUCAUCAUGGGUGUAGUUAUCUGUCUGUAUGUAGUGAUGGAAUGGAGGCCUCGACUCUUCCCUUUCUCUUCAGUCAAGGAAGCAGUCACUUUUUGCCAGACUGGAAAAUAUUAUUGUUACAGAUGUUGAUCCUAAGACAGUUCAUAAAAAAGCUGUGUCAAUAAUGGGAAAUGAAGUUUUUCGUUUUAACUUGGAUUUGUACCCAGAUGCGACUGAAGGGGAUUCAUACACUGACAUGUCCAAAGUGGAUGGCGUGGUGUCGCUGAAUGUUGGCUGCAUUCAGAUUGUCUAUCUUCAUAAGUUCCUUCUGUCCCUUUUGAACUUCCUGAACAAUUUCCAGACAGCCAAAGAGGCCCUGAGCGCAGCCACCGCGCAGGCUGCAGAAAAGGCCGCCACCAGUGUGAAAGACCUUGCCCAGCGGAGUUUGCGCUUCUCUGUCAGCAUUAAUUUGAAAGCACCCGUUAUUGUCAUCCCACAGUCUUCUGUCUCCAGCAACGCUGUUGUGGUGGACCUUGGUUUGAUCAGAGUUCAGAACCAGUUCAGUCUUGUGUCUGGGGAAGGGUCUGUAAAUCCUCCUGUGAUCGAUAGAAUGGAUGUGCAGCUCACGGACCUGAAGCUGUCCAGGACAGUGAUCCAACCAGGCACCUCCCAGCCUGAUAUUCAGCUGUUGCACCCAAUUAACUUUGAGUUUUUUGUAAAUCGAAAUCUACCUGCAAAUUGGUAUCAUAAGGUACCUGUUGUGGAAAUUAAAGGACAUCUUGAUACAAUGAAUGUUUGUCUAAAUCAAGAAGAUCUUAAUGUUUUGUUUAGAAUACUGUCGGAAAAUCUUGGUGAAACUCCUGAAGAGUUAGAUAAAGUGAAACCAAGAGUACCAGAGACAGGUGAAAUCAAAGAUGCCCCUGAAAUUUCUACAUCACAGAGAUUACAAACUUCGAAAGAUGCUUCAAGAGCUGAAAGAGAAGAAAUUAGAUCUGUAAACAUUGUUAAUGUACUGCUGAAUUUUGAAAUUAAAGAGGUAGGUGAUUUUCAUGUUUUUGUAGAGAGGUAAGUUAAUGGAUUUGUAGAAUUACCUGUAUUAAAAUAAGCUUCUGGUAAUUAAUAUGGGUGAAAAAAUCUUAGGUAGGCUAUUUACAUGUAAUGAUGUUUAAAAUUUGAGAGUUUAAGGAUGAGUUAUGUUUGGGGGAUAUAAGAUUACAUAGAGAAAGCUGUAGGAUUUUCUAUAACUUCCUUUUAAUGAUUAUGAGACAGCCAGAAUGUGCCUUGCUUUGCGUUUUUUAUUAUCUAAGCAUAACAAGACAGGGAACUAGUGAUGCAAAAUCCUUUACAAAUGUUAGAAAUUCUAAAGAGAAUAAAACCAGUAAGUGUACACUAAGCGUUAUGGUACUCAUGCAGAAUGGUACUCGGUCAGUGUACUUCCAUUUACAGAUUGUUGAGGAAAGGUCAGGUAGCUUUUCCUCUCCCUCACGCACACACUCAGCACGUAUUCAUUGCAUGUGCUAGGUAUUUAGAUGCCUAGACCUUGAGCUCGGAGGUGUUUGUUCCCCCUUAAAGAUGUGCUCAGUUAGGGUUCUGUUAAGGUUGUGGCACUGGUGGUAGGGAAGGUGCAUCUGAGCAAACCGAGAGGGUCCGCAAGUGUAUUAAACUGAGUUUUCCUGCAGGAAGUGUAACUUUGAGUUGAGCUUUUAAAAGAGCAGCAGUAAAUAACCUGAGAAAAGGAGAUUAAGAAAGGGGGGGGCAGGAUGGACUGGAGUGGGCAUGAAGUUGUGAGAAAGCAUAGAGCGUACAGGGAACCACGGACCUUUCCCAAAAUACCUGGUUGUUGCGUAGUUCUCUAAAUGUCAUGCUCUUCCUCUGAGCUAAAGAUGAAUGAAUGGGCUCUGUGUUCACUUCGCAACUAGAUUCUGGAUUGUUAAACCUCCAGUAUGUUUUCUGUGUAAUAUCAGUUACAUAAGCUUUAUUUUUAUUUUUAUUUGUUUGUGUUUUUGAGAAAGGGUCUCCCUCUGCAGUUCAGUCUGGCCUUGAGCUUACUUUGUAGCCCAGGCUGGUCUCAAAGUUGCUAUAUGAUUCUCCUGUCUCAGCCUCCCGAGUGCUGGGAUUACAAGCGUGUGCCACCAUGCUUAGCUUAGUUACUGAAGAUUUUUAAGCUUGAUAAUUAAAAGACUGAUCGGAGUCAAUUUUUUGACAAGUGUGUAAUUAACAUAAGUAGAUGGAAAACCUGUCAGUCCUUUGUAAUAUGAUUUGCUGUAGAUACUAUGGUAGUUCCCUUCCCUGAGGACAGUGGUCAGGGUGGAGAAAACCACUAGAAAAAAGUGGCAGUGCUUCAGUCUGAACAAGCAUAGGUGUCGCCUCGGGUAAAUGAUGCCCCCUCCAGUCACCAAAGAAGGUGGACGUUUUUACAUUGUGUGACUCUCAGUGUUGUAUCAGUGUCCUUAUUAAAUUCUUGUGCAGCAGUGAAAUCGUGGGUGGUAAUACUGGUGCAUUCCUACAGGUUAUGGUGAUGCUGAUGAAAAAGGCGGAAAAGAGUGGGAGGCCAGUGCACGAGUUCAGUGUCCUGCAGCUUGGAGUGGAAGCUAGAGUUCAAGCUUAUGCCGUGACCGCUGAAGCUUGUCUCCAGCAAGUCAGCAUGCGGUGCCUGGA